UACGGAGGAUCCAAGCGUUAUCCGGAAUCAUUGGGUUUAAAGGGUCCGUAGGCGGCCUUAUAAGUCAGUGGUGAAAUCUCACGGCUCAACCGUGAAAUGGCCAUUGAUACUGUAGGGCUUGAAUUAUCAGGAAGUAACUAGAAUAUGUAGUGUAGCGGUGAAAUGCUUAGAUAUUACAUGGAAUACCGAUUGCGAAGGCAGGUUACUACUGGUGGAUUGACGCUGAUGGACGAAAGCGUGGGUAGCGAACAGGA
rnacentral:rRNA from 1 species